ACCCCACUGAAAAAGGUCUGGUUACUCCCCCGUCGGACAGAACGGGCAGAUGCCCAGGCAGCCUUGCCACCCCCACCCCACUGAAAAAGGUCUGGUUACUCCCCCGUCGGACAGAACGGGCAGGUGCCCAGGCAGCCUUUCCACCCCCACCCCACUGUAAAAGGUCUGGUUAUGCCCCCGUCAG